ensembl:snoRNA
GUCCUUUUACAGUUCGUAACUAUGAUCAUUGGGUUUUCACAAUUGUGAGAUGUACCUCCCUUAAAUCUUAUGAUGUCAAUGCAUUUCCUGUCUAAUA